rnacentral:rRNA from 1 species
UACGUAGGGUGCGAGCGUUGUCCGGAAUUAUUGGGCGUAAAGGGCUCGUAGGCGGUUUGUCGCGUCGGGAGUGAAAACCUCGGGCUUAACUCGGGGCUUGCUUUCGAUACGGGCAGACUAGAGGUAUGCAGGGGAGAACGGAAUUCCUGGUGUAGCGGUGAAAUGCGCAGAUAUCAGGAGGAACACCGGUGGCGAAGGCGGCCCUCUGGACGGAUACUGACGCUGAGACGCGACAGCGUGGGGAGCAAACAGG